GGCUCAGGAUGAACGCUGGCGGUAUGCUUUACACAUGCAAGUCGUACGAGAGUUUUUAACUCAAGUGGCGGACGGGUGAGUAACACGUAAGAAUUUGCCUUUAGGAGGGGGAUAACAACUGGAAACGGUUGCUAAUACCCCAUAUGCUUUCGAGUGAAACGGUUUUUCCGCCUAAAGAGAAGCUUGCGGCUGAUUAGCUUGUUGGUGAGGUAAUGGCUCACCAAGGCGACGAUCAGUAUCUGGUUUGAGAGGACGAUCAGACACACUGGAACUGAGACACGGUCCAGACUCCUACGGGAGGCAGCAGUGGGGAAUUUUCCGCAAUGGGCGAAAGCCUGACGGAGCAAUACCGCGUGAGGGAUGACGGCCUAUGGGUUGUAAACCUCUUUUUUCAGGGAGGAAUAAAUGACGUGUACCUGAGGAAUAAGCAUCGGCUAACUCCGUGCCAGCAGCCGCGGUAAGACGGAGGAUGCAAGUGUUAUCCGGAAUCACUGGGCGUAAAGCGUCUGUAGGUGGUCAAAUAAGUCAACUGUUAAAUCUUGAGGCUCAACCUCAAAAUCGCAGUCGAAACUAUUAGACUAGAGUAUAGUAGGGGUAAAGGGAAUUUCCAGUGGAGCGGUGAAAUGCGUAGAGAUUGGAAAGAACACCGAUGGCGAAGGCACUUUACUGGGCUAUUACUAACACUGAGAGACGAAAGCUAGGGUAGCAAAUGGGAUUAGAUACCCCAGUAGUCCUAGCCGUAAACAAUGGAUACUAGAUGUUGAACAGAUCGACCUGUGCAGUAUCAAAGCUAACGCGUUAAGUAUCCCGCCUGGGAAGUAUGCUC
rnacentral:rRNA from 1 species